CCUACGGGAGGCAGCAGUGAGGAAUAUUGGACAAUGGGCGCAAGCCUGAUCCAGCCAUGCCGCGUGCAGGAAGACGGUCCUAUGGAUUGUAAACUGCUUUUGUACAGGAAGAAACACUCCCUCGUGAGGGAGCUUGACGGUACUGUAAGAAUAAGGAUCGGCUAACUCCGUGCCAGCAGCCGCGGUAAUACGGAGGAUCCAAGCGUUAUCCGGAAUCAUUGGGUUUAAAGGGUCCGUAGGCGGUUUAAUAAGUCAGUGGUGAAAUCUGGUCGCUCAACGAUCAAACGGCCAUUGAUACUGUUAGACUUGAAUUAUUAGGAAGUAACUAGAAUAUGUAGUGUAGCGGUGAAAUGCUUAGAUAUUACAUGGAAUACCAAUUGCGAAGGCAGGUUACUACUAAUGGAUUGACGCUGAUGGACGAAAGCGUGGGGAGCGAACAGGAUUAGAUACCCUGGUAGUCCACGCCGUAAACGAUGGAUACUAGACUGUUGGGUCGGCGACGUUACGUAGUGGUCGUAAGACGAAGUAGAGUAAGUAAGUACCCACCCGUACGGGUAGGUACGGUUUAGUCGAAGAAGUAGUAAACGUACGAAAGUAAGUUAGUACGGACGUGAGACGUAGACCGACGGACGACGACGAGGGAGGAGG
rnacentral:rRNA from 1 species